GAUGAACGCUGGCGGUAUGCUUAACACAUGCAAGUCGAACGGACUCUUCGGAGUUAGUGGCGGACGGGUGAGUAACGCGUGAGAAUCUGGCUUUGGGUUCGGGACAACCACUGGAAACGGUGGCUAAUACCGGAUGUGCCGAGAGGUAAAAGAGAAAUUGCCUGAAGAUGAGCUCGCGUCUGAUUAGCUAGUUGGUGAGGUAAAGGCUCACCAAGGCAGCGAUCAGUAGCUGGUCUGAGAGGAUGACCAGCCACACUGGGACUGAGACACGGCCCAGACGCCUACGGGAGGCAGCAGUGGAGAAUUUUCCGCAAAGGGCGAAAGCCUGACGGAGCAAUACCGCGUGAGAGAAGAAGGCUCUUGGGUUGUAAACCUCUUUUCUUAGGGAAGAACAAAAUGACGGUACCUAAGGAAUCAGCAUCGGCUAACUCCGUG
rnacentral:rRNA from 1 species